GUGCUUGCUUUGAGAAUAUAUACACUAAAAUUGGAAUAAUACAGAGAUUAGCAUAGCCCCUGAGGAAGGAUGACAUACAAAUUUAUAAGGUUUUCCAGAUAUAC